UACGGAGGGAGCUAGCGUUAUUCGGAAUUACUGGGCGUAAAGCGCACGUAGGCGGCUUUGUAAGUUAGAGGUGAAAGCCUGGAGCUCAACUCCAGAACUGCCUUUAAGACUGCAUCGCUUGAAUCCAGGAGAGGUGAGUGGAAUUCCGAGUGUAGAGGUGAAAUUCGUAGAUAUUCGGAAGAACACCAGUGGCGAAGGCGGCUCACUGGACUGGUAUUGACGCUGAGGUGCGAAAGCGUGGGGAGCGAACAGG
rnacentral:rRNA from 1 species